GAUGAACGCUGGCGGCGUGCUUAACACAUGCAAGUCGAACGGUGAAAGAGAGCUUGCUCUCUGGAUCAGUGGCGAACGGGUGAGUAACACGUGAGCAAUCUGCCCUUGACUCUGGGAUAAGCGCUGGAAACGGCGUCUAAUACUGGAUACGAGCUGCGAAGGCAUCUUCAGCAGCUGGAAAGAACUUCGGUCAAGGAUGAGCUCGCGGCCUAUCAGCUUGUUGGUGAGGUAACGGCUCACCUAGGCGACGAUCAGUAGCCGGCCUGAGAGGGCGAUCGGCCACAUUGGGACUGAGACACGGCCCAAACUCCUACGGGUGGCAG
rnacentral:rRNA from 1 species